AUGCUGCUGACGCAAACUGUUUGUGUGUGUCCGUUUAGGUCGAAACAGACACAAAUCACGACCCAAUGUGCCGACGCAAAUGGAGGAACGUCUGUUUUCUGUCCGCACGCGACCCAAUUAAGGCCCAAAUUUAGGUCGGGUUUGUGUUGGGCGGAUAUGGAGCGUACGCGCGCCACGCCCGCCUUUGUCCUCCCCCUGGCCCACCAGUCGGUGGCAUAUUGGUCAUUCUCCAUCCCUCUCAUGAUAGCCAGCACACUCGGCCACCCCCCUCGCUGCCGCAACUUGCACCCACAUACCUUCCUCCGGCAGCACGCCACACUCGAUGGUUGUUCUUGCCGGCAUUGGUGGACUGUUUUGGCCGCCGUCGUAGCACCCCAACGUCCACGCCACCCCCUCGCCUUUGCCGUUGGCAGUAGCUCUCCGAGCGCGGCUACAUCGCUGGACGGUCGCCGCCACUGUCGCCUGCAUGCCAACGAGCCUGCUGCUUGGUCUGAGAGAGGCGCGGCUCUUCAUCGGCCAGCGAGCCAAUUUUUUUGA
rnacentral:rRNA from 1 species